AUUGAACGCUGGCGGCAGGCCUAACACAUGCAAGUCGAACGAGUGGCGGACGGGUGAGUAAUGUCUGGGAAACUGCCCGAUGGAGGGGGAUAACUACUGGAAACGGUAGCUAAUACCGCAUACCAUCGGAUGUGCCCAGAUGGGAUUAGCUAGUAGGUGGGGUAACGGCUCACCUAGGCGACGAUCCCUAGCUGGUCUGAGAGGAUGACAGGCCACACUGGAAAGUAGACACGGUCCAGACUCCUACGGGAGGCAGCAUGGGGGAAUAUUGCACAAUGGGCGCAAGCCAGAUGCAGCCAAGCCGAGUGUAUGAAGAAGGCCUUCGGGUUGUAAAGUACUUUCAGCGGGGAGGCGUUACCCGCAGAAGAAGCACCGGCUAACUCCGUGCCAGCAGCCGCGGUAAUU
rnacentral:rRNA from 1 species